UCUCUAUCUAAAUAAAUGUUUUUAAAACAUCAUCAAAUUAUACAUUUAAAAGAGUGAAUUUUAUGAUAUAUAUAUCUCAAUAAAGCUGUUAGAAAAAUUUAAUCAUUUCCAGUAUAGCAUAUAAGAUAUUAAUAACAUGCAUUUAUUUAUUCACAUAUUUAAUCAUAAUUGCAGAUAAUCUCAUUCUUUGAUACAUCUCACAGUAAGUCCAGUGAUAAAUAGACCAAUCAGUGUACUAAGUAUAGGCUUGGGAAUUAUGAGCAGGUACCAUUCAAAAUUCACCUCCAUGAGAGAUUCAGGAGUAUGUGCAACUCUUAAGGGCAUUCAGAAUUGAGGUCCAUGUUUAAUACAGUUAUAGUGAAAAUUCUAAGGCAUCAAAAGACAAUGUCAGCAGAGUAAAAAUGUAGUCCACAAAAUAUUUGCUAAUCAUAAAUCUUGUAAGGGAUUAAUAUCAGGACAUCCAGGGGAGGAGAUAAUGAGGAAAUGUUUAUAAGUUCAGAGUUUCAGUUUUGCAAGAUAAAAAAAUUGAGUUCUUGGGAAUGCAAACUGGUACAGCCACUCUGGGAAACAGUAUGGAGUUUCUUCAAAAACUUAAAAAUAUUAGUACCCUAAGACUCAGUGAUUGUAUUACUAGGUAUUUACCCAAAGGACACAAAAAUAGUAUUUCAGAGGAAUACAUGCACCCAGAUAUUUAUAGCUGCAUUAUUUACAGUAGCCAAAUUUCCAAGCAGCUUAAGUGUCCAUUGACCAAUGAAUGGACAAAGAAAUGGAUAUAUAUAUAUAUAUAUAUAUAUAAUAUAAUGGAAUAUUACUAUGCCAAAAAAACAAAACAAAACAAAAACAACAACAACGGAUUCUUGCUAUUAGCAAAGUCAAGUGACUGAGCUAGAGGGUAUGAGGCAGUGAAAUAAGUCAGGGAGAAAGAGACAAAUAUCAUGUGAUUUCACUCAUACGUGGAGUUUAAGAAAGAAAACCAAUGAGGAAAAUGACAAAAAAGAGAAAGAGGCAAAUCAAAACACAGACACUUAAGUAUUGAUAACAAAUUGAUCGUUACCAAGAAGGAGGUUAGUGCGGAAUGUAGUAAAAAGGUGAUGGGGAUUAAGGAGUGAACUUGUAAUGAUUACUGUGUGCUGUAUGGAAAUGUCGAAUCACUAUAUGAUGUAUAUGAAAUUAUAUUUCACUGUAUGUAAACUAACUGGAAAUUAAAUAAAAAAUAAAAAAAUAAAUAUAUGGUUUUCAGGUCUCACAUUUAGGUCUUUAAUACAGUUUGCUUUUAUUUUUAUAUAUCAUUAAGAAAUGAUCCAAGUUCUUUCUUUUGCAUACACCUGUUUAAUUUUCUAAUGGUGUAAAUAUAUUGACCAUGUAAGUGUGGGUCUCUAUUCAGUUUCAUUGAUCUAUGUAACUAUGCCAAUACCAUGAUGUUUUAUAUUUUUUCUUUGUAGUAUACCUUGAAAUCUGAAAUUAUGAUGCCACCAGCUUUGUUCUGUUUUCUUUUUUUUCUUUUCAAAAUUGCUUUCUAUUUGGAUUUGUUUGUGGUUCCAUUCAAAUACUAGGAUUCUUCAUUCAACUUUUGUGAAAAAUGCUGUUAGCAUUUUGAUAGGGAGUCCAUUGUAUCUCUAUGUUCCUCUGGUAGUAUAUAUAUUUUAUUAAUACUAAUUCUUCCCAUUCAUGAAGAUUGUACAUCUUCCCAUAUGUUUGUGUCAUCUGUCGUUAUUUUGUUUUUGUUUGUUUGUUUGUUUGUUUGUUUAAAUGGUAUUCUGUUCUCUAAAAGGAAAUUUUCAUUGAACACAAUUUUCAGAUUUUCACUUGGGCUUAUCACACCCUCACAGGUUCAGGACACAUGAUAGUGAAUGAUUUUUAGAGUUAAGUUACACUGAAAAAGAAGUAAUACUAGGUAGAUGACAGGAAGGUACUCUCAUGUGAAAAUAAAUAUACAAUUUCAGUCAC